rnacentral:lncRNA from 1 species
UGAUUACUUAAAUAUCAGGUGUGUAUAGGGAUGAUAAUAAGCAGUACAAGGUACAAACGAUAUUUUUCAUACUACAAAUGUACUUAGUGAUAUUAUGUGUGUUUUAUGAAACUGAAUAAGACAGUAGCUUUUAGAUUUUAGUGAGAUGUAAUGCGUUUUAUUAGUUGGAAGUGAAUAUCGAAGCGUUUUGACUUUUACAGUAAUGUACAUAUGGAAAAAAGCCUUUAAAAUUAUGAAUAAACGUCUUAACGUAUUGGUUUAACUGAACAGUCGCAGUGCGUGUAUAGUGCUCUUAAUUUUGUGGUGAAUACUCCGGACAGAGUUGAUAUAUUUACCAAUAUCUGGAAAAUUGAUUCAAAGGCGAUAUAGACCUUAUCACUAGUUUGAAAUAUGCGCCACUUGACCCCAUAAUAUAUGCCUCUUGAACUAAUGACGUCAUACACCAAUCACUUUUCCAUGGAUGCGUCAGAUAUUUACUAUUAUAACAUCAAAUUUUACGGGAACCUUUAUGAUGUCCAGUAAUAUCGGACAAAACGGAUAAGUUGUAUUAUACUGGUUUGUUAACUUUAUUCUUACUCUACUUUCAUCUUGCAUUUGUUGCACAGUUGCAUACAGUAUACCUGUUAGAUGAUUUCCCUUACAUAACUACAACAGGAGGUGUAACCAAGAUUCAGUUGAGUGAAUAAUAUAAAUAAAAGGGUGCAACAUUAUUGAUAAGCAGUGAAUUCAUGUUCAAGAACCCGUAUCAAACCACAGAAGUAUUAACUGCAGGAUGUAUAAUCGAAUCGAUGUAGUGAAACGACACCACAUUAUAUUAUAGUGUUCAAAACCUGGUUUGCCUAAAUACAUGGGUCCUAUGUAUAUCCAUGAAUUGUCUCUUGUUUUGAAUGAUAAAAUUCGUUCAGAUUACGCAAUACGACAUUGGCUACUUUUUCCAAGAUAUAAAGUAACAUUAUUCUCAGCUGCAUCGAUAAAAUACAUCACCGAUAUGGUAAUAAGGUUAGAUAUCGAUGCCUUACGAGAAGAGGUAGAUAAGGCGGUUCUAAUGUUCGUCGAUAAAUACAGAGCAGAAAUAAUCCUGGUGCCAUUAGUACUAUGUUUAAUUAUAGUUUUGAGUUCUUGUAUAGGUAGUAUUUGCGCACAUUUUCUUGUAAAGUUGUGUACGCGAUACUGUUGCAAGCGUCCAAAAUAUAAAAGAAGGCGUCGUCGAAGAUAUUCCUUUAGACAAUGUUCAAGCGAUGAUGCUGAUGAUGACACUGAGGAUGAUGAUGAUGUAAAUAUAUCACAACAGAUAAAUCAAAAAUAUAAUUUAAAAA